CGUGAUCCCGAAAUUGAUGAACCAUCUGCCUCUAGGUCUGGUACACCAUCAGACCCCUCAUCUCACCAUCAGAGGGACGAUGUGAGUUCCUCAUAUGCUUAUCAGGAUGAUGAGGGUGCGGUCACCCAAGAGGGCGAUGAGCUUGAUGAUGACAUGACUUUGGCGGACGCUCAACUUCGGUCCCCAUAUGUGUUCAAGCCUAGGCAGCCCAGACGCCGGUACACGCCCAACGACUUUGACAACAGAGGCAACCCAAAGGUGGUCGUAGGGACCUCGCGGAUGGCUAGCUUGGAUCAUGAGGCGGAGGCGGAGGCGGAGGAGGAAGUGCAGGAAGAGGAGGCUCGUCCAUCCAGGAAGAAGAAGAUUGCCUGCAGGCGUGGCACCAGGAACACGCGCGGAAGGCAUUAGUGUUUGUUACUAUGGAAGUGCUCUCUUGUAGCCGUUUCGUUAGGUUGAUGAACUUGUUUGGUUAUGUUAUAUGUUGGUGAACUCUUACUAUUGUGGUAUUUGUGUUGUCCUAAAAGAUGUGAUGUUCAAAUUAUUAUGGUAUUGUGGUA